rnacentral:rRNA from 1 species
CCGUGCGACUGCGGAGGACAUUAGUGAUCACCGGGGUAGCCACUCUGUGGCCCCCAAACCUUCACUUUCCACACACACCUGUGCACCCGGUGGUGGGGGGUUCUUGUAAUAGAGCUCCCUCUGCUGCCUAUCUAUCACAUACCCUGAGUAUUAUGGAUGUCAGUGUAUACUUGCCUUUUUGGCAGAACUAAACACAACUUUCGACAACGGAUCUCUUGGUUCUCCCAUCGAUGAAGAACGCAGCGAAAUGCGAUAAGUAAUGUGAAUUGCAGAAUUCAGUGAAUCAUCGAAUCUUUGAACGCACCUUGCGCUCCUUGGUAUUCCGAGGAGCAUGCCUGUUUGAGUGUCAUGAAUCCCUCAAACCCCUCAGGUUUUGAAACAAAAGCCUGGGCUUGGGUUUGGAUGUGGGUGCCCUGCCAUCUUGUAUGGCUCACCCCAAAUGCAUUAGCUGGACCCUUCCUGUAACCGGUUCCACUCAGCGUGAUAAGUCAUUCGCUGAGGACAGCGAGGCAAGCCCACUUGUGGGUGCGCCCCUGCUGGCCGGACUCGGGUUGCUUGGUCUGCUUACAGCCCCGUCGCAUGACGGAAAACCAUAUUCAAUGCUCUGGCCUCAAAUCAGGUAGGAUUACCCGCUGAACUUAAGCAUAUCAUAGGC